rnacentral:rRNA from 1 species
AUCUAUGGCCAUGCCACCCUGAACGCGCCCAAUCUUGUCUGAUGUCGGAAGCUAAGGAGGGUUGGGCCUGGUUAGUACUUGGACGGGAGAUCAAAUGGACUCAUGUUAAAGUACAUA